rnacentral:rRNA from 1 species
GACCCAGACUCCUACAGGAGGCAGCAGUGGGGAAUAUUGUACAAUGGGGGGAACCCUGAUGCAGCGACGCCGCGUGAAGGAAGAAGUAUCUCGGUAUGUAAACUUCUAUCAGCAGGGAAGAAAGAGGACGGUACCUGACUAAGAAGCCCCGGCUAACUACGUGCCAGCAGCCGCGGUAAUACGUAGGGGGCAAGCGUUAUCCGGAAUUACUGGGUGUAAAGGGAGCGUAGACGGUUAAGUAAGUCUGGAGUGAAAGGCCGGGGCCCAACCCCGGGACUGCUCUGGAAACUAUUGAACUUGAGUGCAGGAGAGGUAAGCGGAAUUCCUAGUGUAGCGGUGAAAUGCGUAGAUAUUAGGAGGAACACCAGUGGCGAAGGCGGCUUACUGGACUGUAACUGACGUUGAGGCUCGAAAGCGUGGGGAGCAAACAGGAUUAGAUACCCCAGUA